GAGAAGAGGGAGGAACAGAAAGUUUAUGUACAUAAACCUUUUUUGAACAAAGUAUUGUUGCACCUGGUAGUUAGCUUCACUGACACAGAAGUGAGAGGUCCGUUCAGUGCUUAUAUAGCUGAGAAACAAUGGGAUAGUGCAGGAAAGUUAACAAUUAACAGUCUCAGCUUAAAUUUUGUAACUGCAGGGAGCUGGAAACACAGCUGACUCUCUCUUCAACAAAAUCAGGUCUCCUGGUUGAGGAAAGAAUUUUUGUUAACAUCUUAGUUUCUGAAAAAUAAGCAGCUCGGUAUUUGAUGAGUAUUGUAGAGUUAUGGUUUUAAGCAGCCUGCUCAUAUUUAACUAUCUCUGCUCAUUUUGAAGAGGCUGGCUGAAAGAAGGGUAAAGAGGCUUUUGAAAUACUUUUUACUUUACUUUUUUUAAAUGAGGGUGCAGAGCAGAAAAGGGAGCUGAAGGCAUCUCGCUGGAGAGAAGCAGCAAGGAAGAUGGGUCUGCUAAGUGUGGAUUUGCUGAUCACGCUUCAGAUCUUGCCGGUCUUUUUCUCCAAUUGCCUCUUCCUUGCACUGUAUGACUCUGUGAUCCUCCUGAAGCACAUGGUGCUAUUUCUGAGCCGGUCUAAGUCUGGGCGCGGUGAGUGGCGGAGGAUGCUGACCUCGGAGGGGCUGCGCUGUGUCUGGAAGAGCUUCCUCCUGGAUGCCUACAAGCAGGUCAAACUGGGAGGAGAAGCUCCAAACUCCAGUGUAAUACACAUAGCCAAGGGCAGCAAUGGCAGCAGUAGCAGCUGGAACAGUGUCGGUGGAAAGUGUGGAACCAAAUGCCACCUUCUGGAUUUUGCCAACUCUGAGCGACCACUGGUGGUCAACUUUGGUUCAGCUACCUGACCACCAUUUACAAGCCAGCUGUCGGCUUUCAGCAAGCUGGUGGAGGAGUUCUCUGGUGUGGCUGACUUUCUGUUGGUCUACAUUGAUGAGGCUCACCCGUCAGAUGGCUGGGCUGCCCCUGGCAUCUCACCCUCUUCAUUUGAAGUAAAGAAACACAGGAACCAGGAAGACCGAUGUGCAGCUGCUUACCAGCUCCUGGAGCGCUUUUCCUUGCCACCACAAUGCCAAGUGGUGGCUGACUGCAUGGACAACAAUGCCAAUGUGGCUUACGGGGUUUCGUUUGAGCGAGUAUGCAUUGUGCAGAGACAAAAAAUUGCCUACCUGGGAGGUAAAGGCCCCUUUUUCUACAAUCUGCAGGAGGUUCGGCUUUGGCUGGAACAAAAUUCCAGCAAAAGAUGAAAUCCAUUCUCUACGGAAUCCAUGUCAAUAGAAGUGUCCCUUUGAGGUGUUAUAAAAGGGAAAAAAGGAAACGUGCUGAUGUGAAUAAGCAUUUCAGAUGACUGCAGAACACAUCCGACACCAAGAUCAAAUGAAUGUUAACUAGGUGAAAACAAGCAAACAACAAAAAACAACUCCGCAGAAACAUCACUGUAUGAAAUAAAUCUCACUCCUGUGCCCAUACAAGGCAGAAGAGGUGAAGAGGCUUCUGUAGAAAGGUGCUGCUGGCAAGCAAGAAGAGCACUGAGAUGAGGCCUGUCUCCCAAAAACCUGUCUCAUGAAGUGUUAGCCCUGGAACGAGCCAGAAGCAUUUCUGCUUGGAAGGCAGUCCAUGAAAAGGCAAUGCUGUGCCGUUUCAUCAGAAAUGCUUCUUUACCCUCCUGUAGCCAACGCAAAUGACCUGAGAGAAGCCAGGGCGCUUGCUAUUGCUUUGCAUAGAAAUGCAGCAGAGUGUGGCAGUUGUCCUCUGUACGUAAUUUAUUGUUCAGAGACUACAGAAACCGCCAUGCAAUGCUAUCCUGCAGGCAGAUUGGCUGUUCACAUCAAGAUCAAACGUUGUAUGCUCCUAUUUGUACUCUCUAUAGAUGCCUCUGGCAGCAUAUUAACUAUGUAAUUGUCUCUGUAUGUUUGUAUCCAGUGUGCAGGUCUGUGCCUGCUGAGAAAGGUGUUAAUAUCUAUGGAGUUGGACCAAAAAGACAGAGGUGACCAUUACAGUUUGAAUACUAAAAGACUGGACUAUUUGUGAUGAAAGAGUGAGAGCCAUCUAGAGAGAGCAUCACAAGACAAAACUCAGCUGAUGCCAGCUAGGCCCUGGUUCUCAGAGCUGACAACACACAUUUAUCAAUAUUCUCUGGUUCUGCUCUGUCUAGCUAUAGGCUUAAAGUUGAACUUUGAACUUGUUUAUCCGGAAAACAAUAGCCAAAUAUUUAGCACAGAUGUCGAAGCACACCUCGAGUUCUGAGGAGGCUGAGGUACUAAUUCAGUUAAUACUCCUUUGCAUAUCUGAAGUUAUAGUGAUUUUUCAAGUCCAUUUCCUCCUUUUGAAUUUCCAUUGUUACCUUGUUAUUCACAGAUGCCUGCUCAUCACACAGUAUAAAGGAAUUAUAAAUUUGGCUUCUCUAAGUGGGAAAUCUACAAGGAUUUUCCACAAGAAAAAAUACCCAAUAACUUCAUUUCUUGGCAAUGUGAAAUCAUCAUCCUGGCCAAAAGUGCAAGAUAGUUCAGCCUCACUGAAUAUCAAGACAGUAAAAUAUUUUGCAAAUCCUUUAAUUUCCUCAGAAAAUGUGUGAUCAGAAAGAAGGAGCAGCAUUUCAAAGAGAAAUGGGCUUGGAGUGAAAACAAUGAUCUUUUUUAAGUGACUGAUGAAAAUAGAAACUCUUUAGUUUGGUUUUUUUGUUUGUUGGUUGGUUUGGGGUUUUUUUUUAUGUUGUUUGUUUGUUUUUUACAAAAUUGAAACACUUAUGCAAAAGGUUUUGAAUUAAGCUUGAUGCAUUGUCCUCAGCUAAUGAUAGAAGUGGACUUAUGUCAGAUAUCCAAAAUUUAAGCAGUGGGUUAGCCUGAGUCCAGGCAGAAAUUUUGCUACCUUGCAAGCCUAGUACAUCACAAUUGGUCUAGUGUGCUGUGAGGCUGGAUUUGCUUCUGUCUCUUAUUCUCACUGUUUGAGGGCACUAAACUGCAUUGCUUGAGGUGCUUCAGUGUGACAUACACACUAAGCAACAACUCACAAAGUAGGUGCCCAAAAGUGUUCUGGAAGGCUGCUGUAUAUAUUAGAGAUCUCCAAUACUUUGUCUCAACAUUAGUAUGGGAAACUUCCAGUAUUUUUUCAUUUUGAGUAAGAUAAAAACUGUUCUGGGCUAUCACUCUAUGUUGUUCUGUGCUUAGUAUCAUUAUUUAACACGGUUUAAAAUGAACAUAAACCACUUUGUACAGGAGAAAAUGAUAGCACUUUGCUCAUACUUGUGUAGACAAUGGCAUGAAUUUAAGACAGUAGGAAAACAUGCCUUGUCCAUUGACAAGAAAGGAAUAUGUAGCAAAAUAUAUUAACCAACAACUGUCUGAACACUUUGGAAAACAUAAUGCAGUCAUUUUUAUGACAGUGAUCUUGGUGGGGAAAUUCACAAGGCUUCUCAAAAAGGUAUCAGUGCUGUGAAUUCAGGUGUGUGUAGGGAGGGAGGUGAUGUUUCUGUAUGUGUGAAAUGGCUUUUCUGUGAUGUGGACUGCAGCCUCAAGAGCUUUUCUUUUAAGACUUUUAUUCAGUACAAUAACCAAAGCAAUAAGAGGUAUCAGGUAGGGAAUAUUGGCCAGUUAUGUUCAACUCUACGCCCUGUCUGUGCCAGAUCCAUAUGCAGUGACCUUUAUGCCCAGUUUAGAGACUUCAGAGAAGAAAGAUUGGGGUGAGACAGUGAAGGCUUGUGUGCUUAUGAAGAUCGUUAAUAAAAGAGUAAUUAACUCAGUUAGCGUUCAGAUGCCCUCACAUUGGCCUUCCUCUGUGCAUCUUAGUGUUUCUGUGUUGAAAGAGGGGUCUCCUUGUGGCUGUUAAGAUCACCAGGGUGUAGAUAGAUACCUGUGUGUACUGACUAUAUGUGUGUCAUUGUUCAAAUGUCAAAAAUACACUUUGUAGGAGAGCCAGCGAAAUUUUGUUACAAUAUGGUGCUCCAUGACAUGUGCUUUCUAGGUUUAUUUUUCUUGUGUUAUAAUAAACAAUAACAAAAAUAUA